rnacentral:rRNA from 1 species
UUGAACGCUGGCGGCAGGCCUAACACAUGCAAGUCGAGCGGCAGCGCGGGGCAACCUGGCGGCGAGCGGCGGACGGGUGAGUAACGCGUAGGAAUCUACCCAGUAGCGGGGGAUAGCCCGGGGAAACUCGGAUUAAUACCGCAUACGCCCUAAGGGGGAAAGCAGGGGAUCUUCGGACCUUGCACUAUUGGCAGAGCCUGCGUUGGAUUAGCUAGUUGGUAGGGUAAAGGCCUACCAAGGCAACGAUCCAUAACUGGUCUGAGAGGAUGAUCAGUCACACCGGAACUGAGACACGGUCCGGACUCCUACGGGAGGCAGCAGUGGGGAAUAUUGGACAAUGGGGGCAACCCUGAUCCAGCCAUGCCGCGUGCAGGAUGAAGGCCUUCGGGUUGUAAACUGCUUUUGUACGGAACGAAAAGACUCUUUCUAAUAAAGAGGGUCCAUGACGGUACCGUAAGAAUAAGCACCGGCUAACUACGUGCCAGCAGCCGCCGUAA